UACGUAGGGUGCAAGCGUUGUCCGGAAUUAUUGGGCGUAAAGAGCGUGUAGGCGGCCCGAUUAGUCCGCUGUGAAAGUCCAGGGCUCAACCCUGGAAUGCCGGUGGAUACUGUCGGGCUAGAGUCCGGAAGGGGCGAGUGGAAUUCCUGGUGUAGCGGUGAAAUGCGCAGAUAUCAGGAGGAACACCAGUGGCGAAGGCG
rnacentral:rRNA from 1 species